UACGAAGGGGGCUAGCGUUGUUCGGAAUCACUGGGCGUAAAGCGCACGUAGGCGGAUCUUUAAGUCAGAGGUGAAAUCCCAAGGCUCAACCUUGGAACUGCCUUUGAUACUGGGGACUCUAGCGAGUCGGGAGAGGUGAGUGGAACUGCGAGUGUAGAAGGUUGAAAUUCGUAGAUAUUCGCAAGAACACCAGUGGCGAAGGCGGCUCACUGGCCCGGUACUGACGCUGAGGUGCGAAAGCGUGGGGAGCAAACAGG
rnacentral:rRNA from 1 species